rnacentral:rRNA from 1 species
AACGAACGCUGGCGGCAUGCCUAACGCAUGCAAGUCGAACGAGACCUUCGGGUUUAGUGGCGCACGGGUGCGUAACGCGUGGGAACCUGCCCUUAGGUUCGGAAUAACUCCCCGAAAGGGGUGCUAAUACCGGAUAAUGUCUUCGGACCAAAGAUUUAUCGCCUUUGGAUGGGCCCGCGUUGGAUUAGCGAGUUGGUAGGGUAAAAGCCUACCAAGGCGACGAUCCAUAGCUGGUCUGAGAGGAUGAUCAGCCACACUGGGACUGAGACACGGCCCAGACUCCUACGGAAGGCAGCAGUGGGGAAUAUAGGACGAUGGGCGAAGGCCUGAUCCAGCAAUGCCGGGUAAGUGAUGAAGGCCGUAGGGAUGUAAAGCUCUUUUACCCGGGGUGAUAAUGACAGUACCGGGAGAAUAAGCUCCGGCUAACUCCGUG